GUUUAAUUUCUUGGUUAAUAGAGUACUUCUGUUUAAUUUGGUUAUUUCAGUUGUUCAUUUUUAUCUCUAAAACUCCUUUUUAUGCUAAUACCAUAGUAUGCUUGUGUAGUUCCAUGUAUGAUGUUUGGAAUAACCUAUUAGAUUCAGUUCUAUGCUUAUUUUAGGUCUUUAGCUCAUAUAAGCGUUGCACAACUUUUGAUUUUCUUCAUAUCAGUUCGCUGUGUUUAUGUUUGCUCUCUUUAUUUUCUUUAUCAGAUGGUUCGGAAGAGGUCCAAUGUUUGUAUUAAUAUUGACAGUUCUCAAGAUUGUGAUUCCGUUGAGUCUGAAGAUAUAUUUGACUCAGAAGAUAUCUUUGACUCAGAAGAUAACCAUAGCUGUGCUUCUCAUGGAAUUGAUCAUUCUCAUGAUGGCGAUCAUGAAAGUAUCAAACGAGCUGCUUAUAAGGAAGUUCUUAAGGAUUUUGCAGAUAUCAAAAUUUUGAAAAGGAAGCUGGCAUUGUCUUUUAGCCGUGAGGUAACUUUUCUUUUUCUUUU